AGCGAACGCUGGCGGCAGGCUUAACACAUGCAAGUCGAGCGGACGUAGCAAUACGUCAGCGGCAGACGGGUGUGUAACGCGUGGGAACGUACCUUUUGGUUCGGAACAACACAGGGAAACUUGUGCUAAUACCGAAUAAGCCCUUACGGGGAAAGAUUUAUCGCCGAAAGAUCGGCCCGCGUCUGAUUAGCUAGUUGGUGGGGUAACGGCCCACCAAGGCGACGAUCAGUAGCUGGUCUGAGAGGAUGAUCAGCCACAUUGGGACUGAGACACGGCCCAAACUCCUACGGGAGGCAGCAGUGGGGAAUAUUGGACAAUGGGCGCAAGCCUGAUCCAGCCAUGCCGCGUGAGUGAUGAAGGCCCUAGGGUUGUAAAGCUCUUUUGUGCGGGAAGAUAAUGACGGUACCGCAAGAAUAAGCCCCGGCAAACUUCGUGCCAGCCGCCGCCGUAACAC
rnacentral:rRNA from 1 species